rnacentral:rRNA from 1 species
CCUACGGGCGGCUGCAGUGGGGAAUAUUGCACAAUGGGCGCAAGCCUGAUGCAGCCAUGCCGCGUGUGUGAAGAAGGCCUUCGGGUUGUAAAGCACUUUCAGCGGGGAGGAAGGCGGUGAGGUUAAUAACCUCAUCGAUUGACGUUACCCGCGGAAGAAGCACCGGCUAACUCCGUGCCAGCAGCCGCGGUAAUACGGAGGGUGCAAGCGUUAAUCGGAAUUACUGGGCGUAAAGCGCACGCAGGCGGUCUGUCAAGUCGGAUGUGAAAUCCCCGGGCUCAACCUGGGAACUGCAUUCGAAACUGGCAGGCUAGAGUCUUGUAGAGGGGGGUAGAAUUCCAGGUGUAGCGGUGAAAUGCGUAGAGAUCUGGAGGAAUACCGGUGGCGAAGGCGGCUCUCUGGCCUGUAACUGACGCUGAGGCGCGAAAGCGUGGGGAGCGAACAGGAUUAGAUACCCUGGUAGUC